AAGACCUAAUUAGAGGUAAUUUUUCUAAGUUUUUGUAAAUUAUUGAGGACUACAAAUCUUAAUUAGCUUCUCAGUAGGUUGUAAUUUUUUUUUUUUUUUUGAGAUGGAGUCUCGCUGUUGCCCAGGCUGGUCUUGAACUCCUGACCUCAGGUGAUCCACCCACCUUAGCCUCCCAAAGUGCUGGGAUUACAGGCCACUGUGCCCAGCCUCAGGGGAGUUGUAAUCUCCAUUUCAGUCAUAUCAAUUUAAACUUCACAAAGCUAAGAUUACUUUUCCUUUUCACAUCUGAGGAAAACUACAUCUC
rnacentral:lncRNA from 1 species